CCAGGGCUGAGGAACAAACAGGUACCUCCCCCUGGGCUGAGGAACAAACAGGUACCUCCCUCAGGGCUGAGGAACAAACAGGUACCUGUCCCUGGGCUGAGAAUGAACAGGUACCUCCCCCGGGGCUGAGGAGUGAGCAGGUACCUCCCCUGGGGCUGAGGAACAAACAGGUACCUCCCUCAGGGCUGAGGAGUGAACAGGUACCUCCCUCAGGGCUGAGGAACAAACAGGUACCUCCCCCAGGGCUGCCACCCAUCAUGGGAAGCUCUGGAUGUUGGUGGGAGGCUCUGGAUGUCCGUGGGAGGCUCUGGAUGUCCGUGUGCUCACGUGUCCGUGUGGCUGCGACGUGGCCGGGAAAGGGGGUGGGUGGUUUUCAGAGUUUAUUUAAUAAAGUCCCUUCCUCCCAUCCCUUUUACUGAUGUUGUACAGAGAAAAAAAAAA